CAGCAGCCACGGUAAUACGAAGGGUGCAAGCGUUACUCGGAAUUACUGGGCGUAAAGCGUGCGUAGGUGGUGGUUUAAGUCCGUUGUGAAAGCCCUGGGCUCAACCUGGGAAUUGCAGUGGAUACUGGGUCACUAGAGUGUGGUAGAGGAUAGUGGAAUUUCCGGUGUAGCAGUGAAAUGCGUAGAGAUCGGAAGGAACAUCUGUGGCGAAGGCGACUAUCUGGGCCAACACUGACACUGAGGCACGAAAGCUAGGGGAGCAAACAGGAUUAGAUACCCCUGUAGUCCCUGUCUCUUAUAA
rnacentral:rRNA from 1 species